rnacentral:rRNA from 1 species
UACGGAGGGGGCUAGCGUUGUUCGGAAUUACUGGGCGUAAAGCGCGCGUAGGCGGACCUGCAAGUCGGGGGUGAAAGCCCGAGGCUCAACCUCGGAACUGCCUUCGAUACUGCGGGUCUCGAGUCCGGGAGAGGUGAGUGGAAUUCCUAGUGUAGAGGUGAAAUUCGUAGAUAUUCGCAAGAACACCAGUGGCGAAGGCGGCUCACUGGCCCGGUACUGACGCUGAGGUACGAAAGCGUGGGGAGCAAACAGG